GAUUUUUGCCGAUACUUUUGGGUUUUCAAGCUGGAAAAAAAUGUUUGAAGCUCUACCUUGGUAUAUAUUACGCAUCCCUUUGAGAAAAUGAAAAAAAUCGUAAAAAAACUGCGUCAUAUAUUCGAGUUUUUACGGUAUAUAUUUUAAAUUU
rnacentral:lncRNA from 1 species